rnacentral:rRNA from 1 species
AUUGAACGCUGGCGGCAGGCCUAACACAUGCAAGUCGAACGGCAGCGGGGGAUAGCUUGCUAUCCCGCCGGCGAGUGGCGGACGGGUGAGUAAUGCCUGGGGAGCUGCCCCAAUCGAGGGGGAUACCAGUUGGAAACGACUGCUAAUACCGCAUACGCCUCGAGGGGGAAAGAUGGGGAUCUUCGGACCUAUCGCGAUUGGAUGCACCCAGGUGGGAUUAGCUAGUUGGUGAGGUAACGGCUCACCAAGGCGACGAUCUCUAGCUGGUCUGAGAGGAUGACCAGCCACACUGGAACUGAGACACGGUCCAGACUCCUACGGGAGGCAGCAGUGGGGAAUAUUGCACAAUGGGGGAAACCCUGAUGCAGCCAUGCCGCGUGUGUGAAGAAGGCC